rnacentral:lncRNA from 1 species
UUUUUUCUGAAAUGGGCUUAAUUACAAAAUGAAACAAACUGCUCUCAUGGAAUUAAAGAAUAUUAAAGGUGAAGGUUUCUGUAGAUUAAUCUAGUGCACACAUUUUAUAGGCUAGGAAGCUGAUGCAGGAGAAAUUGAUUUGUCAAAGAUCAUCCAGCUAGAGAGUAAAGGGAGAUAAUAAGAUGUAGACCUUGUCCCAUUCACCUUUAUUGCUGAAAGUUAAAUUUGCGACCGUUUUGAAAAUGAAGUACCUAGGUAGAAACCCUAAUGAAAUGAAAAAUGUGUUUAAAAUAGGAGUUCCGGGGCACCUGGGUGGCACGUGGGUGAGUCACCUUUGACUCAGGUGGUGAUCCUGGGGCCCUGAGAUCGAGUCCUGCAUCAACCUCCUUGCUGGGAGACCCUGCUUCUCCCUCUGCCUUUGUCUUUGCCUCUCUCUCUGUGUCUCUCAUGAAUAAAUAAAAUCUUAAAAAAAUAAAUAAAAUAGGAGUUCCUACUUCAUAGUGAUGUAUCUAGAAAAACAAAUCUAGUCUCAUCCUUUUUAAGUAGCUUAUUCCUAAACUAGACAAUGGCUUCUCUUCCACACUACCAUCACAUUUUGCUAUUUCUAAUUAAGUAUAUUAAUUGAAUAAAUGCAUUCUUUGCUGACAUAUUUUGUUUUUCCUUCUUCCAAUAUUUCCCAGUAUCUUCUAUUGAACUCCUUUCUUGUCAUAGUUUCCUUGAACUUUAUUUUUUUCAAAACUCCAAUAUUUUACUAUUUUUCCUUCUAUGGAAUAAGUGGGACAGUCAAAGCUGGAGUGAAAUGAAAAAGAAAGGUGGGAAGAAUAAAGGGAGAGAAAAAUAAGAUUAUUUCUUCCUAACUUUCUAUUUCUUUUGUUUUUUAGGUGUCUAUUUUUACAAUGUUUUGCACAAAAAAUAUAGACCUAAAUGUACAUCAAUAAGAAACUUAUUAACUCAGUGGCUCUCAAAAUUUGGUCUGUAUCAGAAUCUCUUCUGAACAUUCUUUAAAAUAUGGACAUUUGAGUCCCAUGCUGGGCCUUUGGAAUCUAUGUAGUAUAAGCUGGACAUUGGAGCAGGAUAAUUACUAAAUUUCACAGGAGUGUAAGUAAUGUAAAGUGAAAUUGGCUAACUAACGCAUUAAACUACUUCAUGAUAAACUCAUGUGAAGAAAUACUAUAUAGCCAUCAAAAAGGGUAAUGUAGACUAAUAUGAAUUGACAUUGAUAAAGGUCCAUAAUCUGCUGAGUGAAAGGUCAGGUUAAAGCAUGAUCAGGUUUAAGAUGAUCUCAUUUAUUUUUUAAUAUAUAUCAUAUAUGCAAUGUAAUAGUACUCCUAGAAUACUGUUACAUAUAUGAUAUAUUAUAUAUUAUAAUUAAUAUAUUAUACUAUAUUAUAAUAGUUAUAUUAAAAUUAAUAUAUUAAAAAUAAAAUUAAUAUAUUAUACAUAUAAUAUAUAUUAUAUAUAUAUCUGAAGGAAUAUAGGAGCCAGCAUUCUAAAUUGUGUUAGAGACUUCUACUUCCACUCAAUAUAUUUCUGUUUUCAAAAUUUUAUGAUGAAUCUAUUACGAGCCAUGCAUAAUUAGUGGAAAAUAUUAAAAUAAGAAACUGCCUAGGAGCUCUUGUCCUUAAAUGACAAUGUCAAGGAAGCUUCUGAGGAGACUUAAAUUAAUUAAUGCCAUUUAAAUAAUUUACCACCUGAAAAAUGUUUUAUUCAUUUCUUUUCUGAGCUUAUUCUUUUCAAACAUUCUAAAUUAUAGGCAGAACAUGUUUAACUUAGUUCAUAAAUUAACCUCUUCAUUUAGAACAGGGAAGAAUACAAAAUUCUGUGCCCACCUUUUUCAUUGUGGUAAAAGCUGUAACUCUUAAUGAGGCCAGUUGAUUAACAUCUAUGAAUUAGAAAGAAAUAAAAUGAUUAUCUUUCAAGCCAGAUACCUUGUUUGGAUUACCAGCACUGGUGAAAUAUAUUACUAUGUUCUAACACUAUAGUGUCUUGGAACAUGAGUGAAUAUUUUAUUAAAGUGGGAAAAAUAGGUUCUGGUUACCAAGGCUGCAUUAAAUGUUAAAACAAAAGAAAUAUAAAAAUAAAUCAAUUAUUUCUCAUCGAUAAGGGUGUGUUUAAUCAUUUUGGGUCCCUGAGUAAAAAGUUUAGAAAAAGUUGACUUUCAUAAUUUUAUUUGGAAGGAAAACAGUUUUCCAGACACUAUGUUGUGCAGCCACUCUUAUGAAGAAAGAAAAAAUAUAGGCAACUUGUGCCUGUUUAUGUUUCUCUGCAGUUUCCUUCUUCCUUGUAUCCACCUUCCCCAUAUAUACCAGGGCACAUGAAGAAAUGUCCACUCAAGUCAGAUGUUUGUCAAUAAGCAACUCUUGCAAUUUAGAAAUCUCAACAUGGCUAAUGUUUUAGAGUUCUCACAGAACACUCAGUAACCUUUUCUUCCCAAAUUAGUAUAUUCUCAGAGUUAUCUCUACGAUGCUGCUAUUGUUUCUCAUUUGGUCUGUUUACAUACUUUUAGCUUAGGGAUAAAGCCAAAAACAGGCUUGAGCAUAUUGUCAUUAUUUGUUAAUAUUAACAUUUCUAGGAGACAUUAAUGUCAGUCAUAGGAAUAAGGAAAUAUAUAGAGAUUCUUUUGAAGUUACAUAAGGUUCUUGAUAGUAAACAUGUUGUGUAUAAGACAUACACAUCAGUUUUAUACAUAUAAUACAUGUACAUAUAUGUAUAUAUACACAUCUAAUACAUGAAUACACAUAUGUGUGUAUUUCAUCUGUGAACAAUGUUAUAUAUUUGUUUUAAUUAAAAAAAAUUUUACAAUGUUAUAUUUUUUAUAAGGUUGGAAGAAUUAGGAUAUGAAACUUAAUGAAAUCUAAUUAUCGAGAAUUUACUAUGUUCUAGACUUGUCUCAUUUAAUCAUCGUAACUACCUGUCAAACUAUAAUUUUCAGGGCGUCUGGGUGGUGCAGUCAUUUAGUGACUGACUCUUGGUUUCAGCUCAGGUCGUGGUCUUGGGGUGGUGAGAUCAAGCAUCCCGUGGACCUCCGCGCUCAGCCCUGAGUCUGCUUAAGACUCUCUGCCCCUCCCCUCUGCAUGCCGUCUCUGUCCCAAAUAAAUCUUAAAAAAAUAAUAACUUUCAAGAAAUUAAAAACAUGAUUUUCAUUCCAAUAUAGAAUGAACAUAUGCUAAAGAUUUAUUAACUCAUUAAUGAGCAAAUCAGCAACAUAAUAGAGCUGUUCAAAAAGUAUUUUAAGGAACUGGGUGUUUUUGGACAUGUUAAGAGGAAUGUCAGAUUGAUCCUCUUUUUUAAAAAAAGAAUUUAUUUAUUUAUUUGAAAGACAGAGAGAGAGUGAGAGCACAAGCAGGGAGGAGGGGCAGAGGGAGUCAGAGAAGCAGACCGCCACUGAACUGGGAGCCUGAUUUGGGGCUUGAUCCCAGGACCCUGAGAUGAUGACUUGAGUUGAAGACAGGUGCUUAACUGACUGAGACACCCAGGAGCCCCAGAUAUAAGACUAAUACUGAGGGCAGUAAAAAAUAUCACCUUUUGGGGCUAUCUUUUCUACCUGACAGAAAUUCCUUGCUGCUCCACUGUACUUGCCUUCAAGUUAACAUGUGACUCUACAGAGUCUAAGAUCUUAAUUUAUGUACAAAUCAUACACAGGUCUGUAUGAAAAUCAAACAAAGCAAUGUUACCCCAGAUAAUGAAAUAGUGAAUAGGCUGGUUAAACAAUGCCCCAGUUUGACAUUGAAAGUAAACUCUGCACUUUCUCUGCCUUAUAGCUAAGUAUUAGAUACUAUCUUUUAACAUAUUCUAUUGUGUAAGUACUUUUCUUACUCUCAUUAAUUUGUUAGAGUUAAGAAAAAACAUCAGAUUCAAAUAUACUAAGCGACAAAUAUUUUAUAAGGCAGUUAAAACAUCUGAGUUUGAGGUCAGCUCUACUCUAUAUAUUACCAUCUAUGAAUGGAGAAUUUAGUACUAUAUUUAUUACUUGACUUUUGUCUUAUUUCUCUUAUUUGGCUGAUUUGGCAUUGUGUUGUAUCUGUGAUUUUUAUUUUUUUAUUUUUUAAUUUUUUUUGUAUCUGUGAUUUUUAAAUGACAGCCUAUGCUAAAUUCUUUUGGUAGGUAAACAGAAUAUUAAUAUGUCAUAGUUAUAAAGAUUUAACUUUAUAUGCCUAU